UACGGAGGAUCCGAGCGUUAUCCGGAUUUAUUGGGUUUAAAGGGUGCGUAGGCGGCCUUUUAAGUCAGCGGUGAAAGUCUGUGGCUCAACCAUAGAAUUGCCGUUGAAACUGGGGGGCUUGAGUAUGUUUGAGGCAGGCGGAAUGCGUGGUGUAGCGGUGAAAUGCGUAGAUAUUAGGAGGAACACCAGUGGCGAAGGCGGCCUGCUGGACGGUGACUGACGCUGAGGCUCGAAAGCGUGGGGAGCAAACAGG
rnacentral:rRNA from 1 species